AACGAACGCUGGCGGCAUGCCUAACACAUGCAAGUCGAACGCCAUGGUUUCGGCCAUGGAGUGGCGCAGGGGUGAGUAACGCGUGGGAACCUGCCCAGCAGUAUGGGACAACCGCGGGAAACUGCGGCUAAUACCGUAUACGCCCGUCUUUGGGAGACCAGGGGCGGGGAAAGAUUGAUCGCUGUUGGAGGGGCCCGCGUCGGAUUAGGUAGUUGGUGGGGUAAAGGCCUACCAAGCCUGCGAUCCGUUGCUGGUCUGAGAGGAUGAUCAGCCACACUGGGACUGAGACACGGCCCAGACUCCUACGGGAGGCAGCAGUGGGGAAUAUUGGACAAUGGGCGCAAGCCUGAUCCAGCAAUGCCGCGUGAGUGAUGAAGGCCUUAGGGUUGUAAAGCUCUUUCACACGCGACGAUGAUGACGGUAGCGUGAGAAGAAGCCCCGGCUAACUCCGUGCCAGCAGCCGCCGUAAGAC
rnacentral:rRNA from 1 species